AUGGCUCAGAUUGAACGCUGGCGGCAGGCCUAACACAUGCAAGUCGAGCGGUAGAGAGAAGCUUGCUUCUCUUGAGAGCGGCGGACGGGUGAGUAAUGCCUAGGAAUCUGCCUGGUAGUGGGGGAUAACGUUCGGAAACGGACGCUAAUACCGCAUACGUCCUACGGGAGAAAGCAGGGGACCUUCGGGCCUUGCGCUAUCAGAUGAGCCUAGGUCGGAUUAGCUAGUUGGUGAGGUAAUGGCUCACCAAGGCGACGAUCCGUAACUGGUCUGAGAGGAUGAUCAGUCACACUGGAACUGAGACACGGUCCAGACUCCUACGGGAGGCAGCAGUGGGGAAUAUUGGACAAUGGGCGAAAGCCUGAUCCAGCCAUGCCGCGUGUGUGAAGAAGG
rnacentral:rRNA from 1 species